AAAAAUGAUAGCUCAUGUGUAACUGUGUGUCAGGUGUCAUUCUGAGCACUUGACACACAUGGCCUUAUUCAGUCCUCACGUUCGUCUUUAUUAUUCACAUUCUCCAGAUGAGGAAACAGAAUUAGAGAAAGUUGAAUAACUGGCCAAGGUUAAAUGCUAUUAACAUUGGCAAAUUGGGUAGAGGAGUUGCUGAAGACGUGGGAGGAAUCGCAGGUGUCUCCAGGUGUUCAAGGCUGGAGGGCAGGGAACACAAUUUGGAUGGUUUUGUGAACUGCAUCAACUCUGUCUCUGAAGAUCUCCUCUAUUGACCUCUCAUCUAAGCCAGUGUCCUCUGCAUAUACUCCUCCCGUUUACUUCAUCCAUCUCAGCUGCUAGUCCAACUCUACAUCAUGAUCUCCAAGCUCCCGUAACCACCACUGACAACAGUCUCCAUGUCUCUUAGGGCAAGUUCUCAUAUGGGAGAUACUUAUCAGGCCAUAUUAUGCUUUUCUCACAGUCUCUCUCGUAGCCAUUUUGGAUUGGUGUAGGGCCGUGGGGUAUAGGAAGAUGCAGAAUGGAUGGGGAAGACAAUGAAAC
rnacentral:lncRNA from 1 species